rnacentral:rRNA from 1 species
GCCCAGCUGCUCAAACUUUUACUUACACUCAAUCGCCAGGGAACUACGAGCUAAGCUUAAAACCCAAAUCGCAUUGACGGUACCCCAUAUCCCCCUAGAGGAGCCUGUCCUAUAAUCGAUAACCCACGUUAAACCUCACCAUUUUUAGUUAAUCAGCCUGUAUACCUCCGUCGUCAGCUUACCAAGCUCAGCGUUAAUUAGUGAGCCUAAUGUUUUUCACCAAUACGUCAGGUCAAGGUGCAGCAAAUGAAAUGGGAAGAGACUGAGCUACACUCUCUAUUUUAGAAAAAACGAAAAACUACCUACAUGGAAACCUAGUUAGACUGAGGAUUUAGCAGUAAAAAGGACUGAGCAUGUCCCUUUUAAUCCGGCACUGGGGUGUGUACACACCGCCCGUCA